AGUCCUAUAGUGUAGCGGUCAGCACCCCAGACUUUGAAUCUGGUAACCUGAGUUCGAAUCUCAGUAGGACCU